ensembl:lncRNA
GCCCAUUUUACCGGGCACGCGUCCGCGCAGGCUCGUCCGGUCUCGUGAGAGCCAAAUGUCCCAGAAUUCAUUGCACCUCAGCAACGACGGAGGAAAAUAAACAUUAUAUGUUAUAAAUUCCGGAUUUACGUCACGGAAUGUGAUUUUCUCCGUGGAUGUGGGAGGUUUACGGUCUGCUUACCGGGACCGGCUGACUCCUCCAGCACCGGGAAGACCGAUGUUGUCCACCGGAGACGUUCCGUCUGUUUGAGGACGGACUUUACAUUCAGAACGUCAUGAUUAAAUGUAGCCGUAACGUCGUGUCCGUGUCCACAGAGCGCAGCUUGUGCAUUAAAACUAUGAUGUCCUUUUAAUCAAGGGACACGAGGACCGUCAGCGAGACUCUAAACCGGCAGCAAACGCACCGCGGGGUCGGCGGUUCGAACCCCAGCUGCUCCGUGUCUCAUGUCAAAGUGUCCCUGAGGAAAAUGUAAAAUGUUAAAACCAAGAGUUAAAAAAGACAACGUAAGUCGCUUUAGCGUCUUCAGUCCUUCAUCAGACAAGACGACAACACAAAGUGUCCCAUGAGAGUUUUAGUGUGUGAAGCUGUGGACUCUGCUAUGAAUCAGGCUGAGGACCCAGAGGACGGAGUCCGUCCCUCUGAAGCUCCUCUGUGUGGGGAACAUGACAGCCAGACCACAGCUCAGAGGACCCAUCAGAGACCUGGACCUGAUCCUGAACCCAGCUGUGUGUCCAUGAAGAGUAACCGGUUUAUGGAGACUCCUUAAAACUUCAAAGAUGUUCGUCCCUCUGUAGAUGCGAGAUGAUGAUCUCAGGCUGAUGAUGAGGUGUUUCUCAGGAAUCAGGAAACAUUAAUCACCAUAAUCUGUGAGAUACACAAGGAAUGUGACUUGGCGGUUGGUGCGUAACAGCAGACAGUACGACAAUGGAUGACAAGACAACAGUGCAGGAGGAAUAAAAUAAAAUAUAAGGCUAUGGGUUAGUUUAAAAAUAAAGGAAUAACAGUUCGUUAAAGCUAUUUCAAAAUUAAAAAGAAAGUGCACCAGCAAACAGAAAGUGACAAGUGAAAGUGACAUGUGCAGUGUGAAGGGGAGUGAUGGACCUCAGCCUCCUGCCAGAUGGAAGGGGCACUAACAGGUUUUGUCCGGGGUGAGAGGGGUCGGCUACCAUCUUUUUAGCUGCUUCAGAGACCUGGAAGCGAACAAGUCCUGCAGGGACGGCAGAUUGCAGCCGAUCAGCCUCUCUGCAGAGCGGAGGACACGCUGCAGCCUGCCCUUGUCCUUGGCUGUGGCUGCAGCGUACCAGACGCUGACGGAGGAGCAGAGGAUGGACUCCAUGAUGGCCGUGUAGAAGUGGACCAUCGUCGUCUUUGGCAGGUUGAAUUUCUUCAGCUGCCUCAGGAAGAACAACCUCUGCUGAGCCUUCUUGGUGAUGGAGCUCGAGGUCCUGGGUGAUGAUGGCGCCCAGGAAACGGGAGGAAUCCACGGUGGUGUAAAAGCGACUUACGUCGCAUUUUUAACCCACUGCUUUUUACAUUUUGCUCAGGGACACUUCGACAUGGGACGGGGUUUUAUAUGUUGUAAAUGUGUAAAACCCACUUUACUAAUAAAAUAACUUUUUGAUGAGUUUUAA